UGUCCCGACCCCCCAUGAUAAAAUGAGUUACGAACGUGUACACAUAGUUCGUUCCUUGAGAGACACCGUGGCUUGCAAACGAGCGAAUCAUCGCAGUUGCUCAGUGUUUGGAUUUACAAAACCUCGAAAAAGCCAGCUCAUCAAUUGCUUACAUUCAGCAGCUUCUCUCAAGGGAUGUUGCAUGCCAGACAGAAAACCUGGAAACGCAUAUUUGUAGGCACAAAGCUAUCCUUAAAGUCUAUUCAGCCCCAUUUUAAAAGUGAAGACUGCGAUGCCUUUAGAGACCGUAGCACUCAUCUCAACGCCACCUCAGAGAUUCUGGGUGUGGACGCCCCUGGCUCCUCCCACAUGUCCAGCCACAGCGAGGAGCUGAAGAUUCUGAGCGUCUACGGAAAAGGGGAGGGCCCUCUGGCGGUGGAGGACCAUGACGCCCUCU